CCUACGGGUGGCAGCAGUCGAGAAUCAUUCACAAUGGGGGAAACCCUGAUGGUGCGACGCCGCGUGGGGGAAUGAAGGUCUUCGGAUUGUAAACCCCUGUCAUGUGGGAGCAAAUUAAAAAGAUAGUACCACAAGAGGAAGAGACGUCUAACUCUGUGCCAGCAGCCGCGGUAAUACAGAGGUCUCAAGCGUUGUUCGGAAUCACUGGGCGUAAAGCGUGCGUAGGCUGUUUCGUAAGUCGUGUGUGAAAGGGGGGGGCUCAACCCGCGGACGGCACAUGAUACUGCGAGACUAGAGUGAUGGAGGGGGAACGGGAAUUCGUGGUGUAGCAGUGAAAUGCGUAGAUAUCGAGAGGAACACUCGUGGCGAAGGCGGGUUCCUGGACAUUAACUGACGCUGAGGCACGAAGGCCAGGGGAGCGAAAGGGAUUAGAUACCCGGGUAGUC
rnacentral:rRNA from 1 species